GACGAACGCUGGCGGCGUGCCUAAUACAUGCAAGUAGAACGCUGAAGGAGGAGCUUGCUUCUCCGGAUGAGUUGCGAACGGGUGAGUAACGCGUAGGUAACCUGCCUGGUAGCGGGGGAUAACUAUUGGAAACGAUAGCUAAUACCGCAUAACAGUAGAUGUUGCAUGACAUUUGCUUAAAAGGUGCAAUUGCAUCACUACCAGAUGGACCUGCGUUGUAUUAGCUAGUUGGUGAGGUAACGGCUCACCAAGGCGACGAUACAUAGCCGACCUGAGAGGGUGAUCGGCCACACUGAGACUGAGACACGGCCCAGACUCCUACGGAAGGCAGCAGUAGGGAAUCUUGGGCAAUGGACGGAAGUCUGACCGAGCAACGCCGCGUGAGUGAAGAAGGUUGUCGGAUCGUAAAGCUCGGUUGUAAGAGAAGAACGAGUGUGAGAGUGGAAAGUGCACACUGUGACGGUAUCUUACGAGAAAGGGACGGCUAACUACGUG
rnacentral:rRNA from 1 species